rnacentral:rRNA from 1 species
AUUGAACGCUGGUGGCAGCCCUAACACAUGCAAGUCGAGCGAGCGGCGGACGGGUUAGUAAUGUCUGGGAACCUGCCCGAUGGAGGGGGAUAACUACUGGAAACGGUAGCUAAUACCGCAUACCAUCAGAUGUGCCCAGAGGGGAUUAGCUAGUAGGUGGGGUAACGGCUCACCUAGGCGACGAUCCCUAGCUGGUCUGAGAGGAUGACCAGCCCACCGGGAACUGAGACACGGUCCAGACUCCUACGGGAGGCAGCAGUGGGGAAUAUUGCACAAUGGGCGCAAGCCUGAUGCAGCCAUGCCGCGUGUGUGAAGAAGGCCUUCGGGUUGUAAAGCACUUUCGGCGGGGAGGCGUUACCCGCAGAAGAAGAACCGGCUAACUCAGUGCCAGCAGCCGCGGUAAUAC